rnacentral:rRNA from 1 species
CCUACGGGAGUCAGCAGUGAGGAAUAUUGGUCAAUGGCCGAGAGGCUGAACCAGCCAAGUAGCGUGAGUGAAGACGGCCCUACGGGUUGUAAACCUCUUUUGUCGGGGAGCAAAGCGAGUCACGUGUGACUCAUUGAGAGUACCCGAAGAAAAAGCAUCGGCUACCCCCGUUCCAGCAGCCGCGGUAAUACGGAGGAUGCGAGCGUUAUCCGGGUUUAUUGGGUUUAAAGGUUGCGCAGGCGGAGGUGCAAGUGAGCGGUCAAAUUGCGGGGCUCAACCCCGUACUGCCGUGGAAACUGCAUUCCUGGAGUGCGCUAGAAGUAUGAGGAAUGCGUGGUGUAGCGGUGAAAUGCAUAGA